rnacentral:rRNA from 1 species
GAUGAACGCUGGCGGCGUGCUUAACACAUGCAAGUCGAACGAUGAAGCCCAGCUUGCUGGGUGGAUUAGUGGCGAACGGGUGAGUAACACGUGAGUAACCUGCCCUUAACUCUGGGAUAAGCCUGGGAAACUGGGUCUAAUACCGGAUAGGAGCGCCUACCGCAUGGUGGGUGUUGGAAAGAUUUAUCGGUUUUGGAUGGACUCGCGGCCUAUCAGCUUGUUGGUGAGGUAAUGGCUCACCAAGACGACGACGGGUAGCCGGCCUGAGAGGGUGACCGGCCACACUGGGACUGAGACACGGCCCAGACUCCUACGGGAGGCAGCAGUGGGGAAUAUUGCACAAUGGGCGAAAGCCUGAUGCAGCGACGCCGCGUGAGGGAUGACGGCCUUCGGGUUGUAAACCUCUUUCAGUAGGGAAGAAGCGAAAGUGACGGUACCUGCAGAAGAAGCACCGGCUAACUACGUGCCAGCCGCCGCCGUAA